AGGAGCCGUAUGAGGUGAAAGUCUCAAGUACGGUUUGGAAUUGGAGUUGGGGAGGGUGACCUCCCUUUCGACCAUAAC
rnacentral:ncRNA from 1 species